rnacentral:tRNA from 1 species
GCCGGGUUAGCACAGCUGGUAGUGCACCUGAUUUGUAAUCAGGGGGUCGGGGGUUCGAAUCCCUCACCCGGCACCA